AACGAACGUUAGCGGCGCGCCUAACACAUGCAAGUCGAGCGAGAAAGGGCUUCGGCCCGGUAAAGCGGCGCACGGGUGAGUAACACGUGGAUAACCUACCCCUUGGUGGUGGAUAACCUUCCGAAAGGAGGGCUAAUACAGCGUAAGACCACGACUUCGAAAGAGGUUGGGGUAAAAGUUGGGCCUCUGUACACAAGCUCACGCCAGGGGGAUGGGUCCGCGGCCCAUCAGCUAGUUGGUAGGGUAACGGCCUACCAAGGCGAAAGACGGGUAGCUGGUCUGAGAGGAUGAUCAGCCACACUGGAACUGAGA
rnacentral:rRNA from 1 species